GUGGCGGUUCCCCUGAGGAGGGUGUUUGUCUUUAAAGCUGGCGCUCCGUCCCCCUCCCCGCAGGGAAGGCUGAGGGCGCUGCCGGCGCUGGAGUCCUUGUUGGGGUCCCCGCCCCGGAGCCUCUCUCAGCGGUCCUUCUGACUGUGAAUGAGAUGAGCUGAUUAAGAGGCUGUGCUUCCUUCUUUGAAGGCACAUUCUGUGACUCAACAUAGUGUCACCUGAGAAAACAACCCAGACCCCGGUCAGGACCAGGACCAGAUGGCUGCUUCUCAGGAACCAUUGACCUUUAGGGAUGUGGCCAUAGAUUUCUCUCAGGAGGAGUGGGAAUGCCUGGACCCAGGUCAGCAGAAAUUGUACAUGGAUGUGAUGUCAGAGAACUACAGCAACUUGGCCUCCCUGGCUAUGUCAUCUAAGGAUUACCAGGUCCUUAUGCCAAAGCCCGGACUACAAGAUUUAUUCCCUGAAAUAAUACUGGUGAGAUGUAAAAGGUGUCACUUUGAUAAUGUAUACUUAAGGAGAGCCUUGGAAUUUGAGGAAGAGUGUGAUGAGAAGGGAGAAUAUUAAUAUAAACAGAACUAAUCUGGAACACUUAGUCUUUUAACAUUCUUGUUAUCCAAAGAGGUAUUAUGCAUUUGAGAUAUCUUACACUUUAAAGUCAGUUAUGCCCUGAGCAGUUUGGCUCAGUGGAUACAGCAUUGACUUGCGGACUGAAAGGUCCUAGGUUCAAUUUUGGUCAAGGGGAUGUACCUUGUUUGCGGGCACAUCCCAGUGGGAGGUGUGCAGGAUGCAGCUGAUUGAUGUUUCUCUCUCAUCGAUAUUUCUAACUCUCUAUCGUUCUCCCUUCCUCUCUGUAAAAAAUCAAUAAAAUAUAUAUAAAAAAAUAAUAAAUAAAAAAAUUAAGUCAGUUACAUUGGCAGAUCAGUGUGUUUCUGUACGUGAAGAUUGAAAACAACUUUUUAUUCUUAUGCAUUCUUGGAAAUCUGGAAAGGCUAGGAAUUCACAUAUUCUUUAGUGUAAAUAUUUAUUUGAAUUAUUUAAAAUGUAGGGAAGAA